rnacentral:rRNA from 1 species
AGUGAACGCUGGCGGUAGGCCUAACACAUGCAAGUCGAACGGCAGCACAGUAAGAGCUUGCUCUUACGGGUGGCGAGUGGCGGACGGGUGAGGAAUACAUCGGAAUCUACUUUUUCGUGGGGGAUAACGUAGGGAAACUUACGCUAAUACCGCAUACGACCUACGGGUGAAAGCAGGGGAUCUUCGGACCUUGCGCGAUUGAAUGAGCCGAUGUCGGAUUAGCUUGUUGGCGGGGUAAAGGCCCACCAAGGCGACGAUCCGUAGCUGGUCUGAGAGGAUGAUCAGCCACACUGGAACUGAGACACGGUCCAGACUCCUACGGGAGGCAGCAGUGGGGAAUAUUGGACAAUGGGCGCAAGCCUGAUCCAGCAAUACCGCGUGGGUGAAGAAGGCCUUCGGGUUGUAAAGCCCUUUUGUUGGGAAAGAAAAGUAGCAGGUUAAUACCCCGCUGUUCUGACGGUACCCAAAGAAUAAGCACCGGCUAACUUCGUG